rnacentral:rRNA from 1 species
GCCAGACUCCUACGGGAGGCAGCAGUGAGGAAUAUUGGUCAAUGGGCGGAAUCCUGAACCAGCCAUGCCGCGUGCAGGACGACGGCUCUACGAGUUGUAAACUGCUUUUGUACCGGGGUAAAAUGCCUUACGAGUAGGGUUUUGAAAGUACGGUACGAAUAAGGAUCGGCUAACUCCGUGCCAGCAGCCGCGGUAAUACGGAGGAUCCGAGCGUUAUCCGGAUUUAUUGGGUUUAAAGGGAGCGUAGAUGGGUUGUUAAGUCAGUUGUGAAAGUUUGCGGCUCAACCGUAAAAUUGCAAUUGAUACUGGCAGUCUUGAGUACAGUUGAGGUAGGCGGAAUUCGUGGUGUAGCGGUGAAAUGCUUAGAUAUCACGAAGAACUCCGAUUGCGAAGGCAGCUUACUAAACUGCCACUGACAUUGAUGCUCGAAAGUGUGGGUAUCAAACAGGAUUAGAUACCCUAGUAC